GGGUCGGUCCUCCUAUAGGUGUAGGAAGCUGUCUGUAAAACAGUGGUUUAAUACGAUUGCUGGUUCAAUUCCAGCUCGACCCA
rfam:[Oscillatoria] sp. PCC 6506, WGS project CACA01000000 data, contig: Contig87